AUAAGUGAUAUACGAUAUUUGUCUUUCUCUGUUGGACUUACUUCUCUAGGUCCAUCCAUGUUGCUGCAAAUGGCAUUAUUUCAUUCUUCAAAAAGUAUCUUUGAUGUUCCAAACAGAAGGGUUAGCGGGUCAAUGACUGCUACUGUGUUAUAUUCAUGAGUAAUUACUAGGUAAUGAUACUUUAUAUGUGAAUAGCAUUUUACAACCAACCAAUUACAAGUUUGAUUGUAUGCUGACGAUUCCCAAACUUGUAUCUCCAAAUCUGUGCCUCCAUCCUGUACUUUAGACUCAGAUGCCAACAGCCUACUCAACACUUCACUUAGAAAUCUAAGAGUUUGAACUUAACAUGUUCAAACUCAGCUCCUUGCCUCACUCUCUCCUUGCCCCACUUCCCCAAAGUACUCCCCCUUCAGCUGUCCCCAACUCAGUUGAUAUAGAUAUAUCACCACUGCAAAUGUCCAAUUAAAAAAAGAAGAAUUCAUCCCUUACUCCAUUUCUGCUUUUUCUAGAGGGGUGUGUGUGUGCCACGUGGCUUGUGGGAUCUUAGUUCCCCGACCAGAGAUCAAACCCGUGCUCCCUGAAGUGGAAGCAUGGAGUCCUAACCACCAGACCGCCAGGGAAUUCCCCAUUUCUACAUUUUAGAAUUGAUUUCUUACUUAGUUUAGAAUUUCCCUUGGAGAACACUUGAAGAGUAAGAGGUAAUUGUGGGAGUUCAGAUUAUAUUUAUCCAUUCUUUGCUGGAUUAUUUAAAGUAGGUAUAUUUAUAUUUUUGAGAACAACUUUUACAUUUACAGUCCAAGGAAUACUCCAGAAACUCAAGGUUUUGGAAUGCCUGAUGUUACUAGCCAGCAGCCAUUUUUGAUUUACAAUCUAUUACAAAUACCUGAGAAAUCACCUUGAAAUUAGUUUCCUGGCAUUCGCACAACUGAUACAGGUCGCUGAUAACAUUUGUUAUUCUGUCACCACUUGCUCCGCCCUUCAAGUUCAGCAAAUGCUUGGUAUAACAUUUCCCAGACUCAAGGCAACUUGUCCUCGUUAAAGAAAUGAAUCUCCAGGGUCUCGUGACAAUCAUGCGUAUCUCUCCAAUAUUUUCCACCAGCAGUGCAGAGUGUAGAAGAAUAUCAUUUGCUACCACAUAGUAGCAAAGUAAGAGUUACAGAUGACUAUGGUGAGGUUACCAUGCUAAUGAGUAGACAAAGUCUUACAUAUAUUAACUUUGCGUAUUAUUAGUUCUCUUUUCUUCUCCACAUAAAAUAUACUUUAGUUUUUUAAUGCAUAAUCUGGUCUAAUCUUAAAUUAUGCUAAUUAAAUUUUGUCCAAACAAACCAAGCCUUUAAAGUCUAAGUAUUCUAAGCUAUGUUUUAUGUUUAGGCAGUUUGUAAGUCUGACCUGAACUUUUGUCCAGAGGGAAUCAUGGAAGAAUACAAAACAGGAGAUGUGUGAUGGAAUCAAUAUUUGAAAUGUUGGCGUCUUACCAUGUAUCUUCCUUCUAAGGAUGUCCUGAGUCGCAGUCUCAGGAAUUCAUGGAUUCCAAGAUCCAUGGAAAAGAUUCUAUGAUAACAAACCGCUUUUGCUUAAUCGGAUGCGUUUUUCUCCAGUCUUUUCCUGCGUGUCUUAGAUGUUUCUGUGAAGGUGUUCACAGAUGUGAUUCACACUUAAAUUGGUCGACUUCGAAUAAAAGCAGAUUGCUCUCCAUCAUGUGCCUGGACCUCAUCCAGUCGGUUGAAGGUCUUAAGAGGAAAGACAGAGGUUGCCUGAAGAAGAAGCAAUUUUGCCUCAAGACUGGAACUAGAAACCCUGCCUGAGUUUCCAGCCUGCUGCCCUGCAGAAUUUGAACUCAAGACCUGUAACAUCACCUCUUGACGGAAUUGCCAGCCUGUGGGCCUGCCUUACAGAUUUCUGACUCGUCAGACCCCACAAUUGUGGCUCAGUUUGCAAGAACUCAUCUGUGCUACCCAGACACUCUGCCCCGGAACCUGGCUCCUUGGAGGAUGGCGUGGCUGGGGCCCCCAGCCAACACUUGAGGUAUGUUCUGUCUUCACCCCCUCCUCUGGGAUCAAGUGCCACAGCCUGGCUUCUGAGUGUUGCCCACUGUCUGGACUCCUCAAUACUGGGGUUACACUUGCAUAUGUCCAGCGUCACACCUGGGCUUGUUUGCCCCAUAGGCUCCAGCUUUAUACAAUCUUGUUGUCAUCACCAUUUCCCGUUUUCAGCUGAGUCAGUUAUUUUCAGCCCCCUGACCCCUUGCUCUAGGAAACUAUUGUUACUGAGUCCAAGCUCAUACUGCUCGCUGAGUGACAGGCCAAUAAAUCAAGGUGUUAGGGCAAGGAAUAGCGACUUUAUUCGGAAAGCCAGCAGACAGAGAAGGUGGCAGGCUAGUGUCCGAAAGAAUCUUACCCAAGUUAGAAUCCAGGCUUCUUUUAUACUAAAAGAGGAGGGAGUAUAGCUGAUAGCUGCAAACAUCUUGGGGUCGGCCAGACCCCAGAAAGGAUGUGAUAGUCCUUUUUUCUAGCAGUUGUCCAGGUAGGUCCAACAAUAAACCUCCAACAUGACAAAUGUUGUUCUCUGUUCUGCAACUUUUUAUCUUUGUGUGAAUGAAAAAUGUCAUACCUUUAAAGGUGAAGCCUGGGAGACAGAGCCUUGAGAAUGGGCUAUCCCAUAUAUUUCAGGCUCUAGGCAACCUUCUUUUACAAAGGUGCAGAGCCAGCAUGACUAAGCACAGGCAGCAGAGCACAAGCUCUCAACCAUUUGGAUGAUUUUUUUUUUUGCAUUUGCAUUUUGCAUAACAUCUGUGCUAUUAUUUGCUUAAUACUUUUCCUUACAUUACCUUGCCUUAAAACAAAAACAAACAUUGUUUUGCUUUGUCUAGGCAAAAGUAUCCUGAAAUCAUAGGUUUGAUGUGUUAUUUAUAUCUUUCCCUAUUACACAUUAACAUAAAUCCAUAACUAUUAACAUAAAACAUUUGUGGACUGUCUAGAAUCACCCUGUAACCCAGAGCACACUUGUACCACACUUUGGGAAAUGCUUACCUCAGGGCUUUGCCUAGAGUCUGCUUACUCCCAUCCCUGCCCUUUCUACCCACACUGCGUGGAUCCUUUGCAUCCAGUGUUAGGACAUAAAUACUUAGAAGUAAUAAAACUCUCUACUUCAUGCCAAGUACGAAGUACGAAUGGGAUUGCGAAGUACGAAUUGCGAAGUACGAAUGGGAUUUCAUUGAUAAAUAACUAAUCAAAGCUAAUGUAAUGUGGUGCUUAAAAGCAGGGUCUCUGGAGAUGAAUUCAAAUUCCAGCUCUGCCACUUACUGUGAAAAUCAUUUGGCCUCUCUCAGGUAGCUCAGAGGACUGUUAUGAAGAUUAAAUAAAUUAAUACAUAUUCAGGGCUUAGAACAGUGUCUGGCCCACGUAAGUGCUAUAUAAAUGUUAGGUAUGAUUAGAAGCUGCAAGUUUUGGCAAUGGGAGUCUAAAGAAAAAAGUAGUCCGUGAGUGUACUAGGUGUCCUUUCCUUUGAGAAAAAGUUGGCUAGGGAAUAGGCGUGUGAUAAUAUUUAUUUAAUCUUGUGGCCAGUACUGCAUGUAUUUAUUACAUCAGUGUAUGAGGGCUUUCUGAAUCAGGUGAGCAGUAUGGAAGGCUCAAAGAUUUAAAAUGGCCUCUGAUUUACUGCAAUUUAGUUGUGCAAACUGGGUAUUCUAUGCAAAUUUGAGGAUAAUCCUUCCCCCACUCUCACACUUCCCCCAUUCUCAAAAAUUUAUUUACGUAGUUUGUUUUUAUUUGAAAACUGAAUAUUUUCACUAAGCACUGGGAGCUGUGCAAAAGUGUGUGUGUGUGUGUGCACGUACGCGCACUGUUUCAGAGAGGUUUUCCAUUAUCAGCAUAGCAAAUAGUUUUUUCUAAAAGUACAAAACUUAAAUAAACUAAUAUGUUUAAUCUAUUAUAACAACUGUUUCCCAGGGUAUAAUAUGAACAUUUUUUCCUAUUUUUGUUUUGAAAUAACUCAAGCAUCAGCUACAUUAUUUUUAAAUGUCUUCAUUAUGUUUAAUUGAAUAACAUUAUCAAUUACAUUUAUGAGGAGUUAACAAAGGAACAGUAAAGCUAAAUUUGAAUAAAACAUCUCUAUUCUAAUUUUGAAACCUAACUGGAAAAAAUGUAUAUUGUAGUACAAUAAAAAUGAAUCAAAUACAUAUCAUCAGUGUUAGGCUGUCUCUGUUAGGAAAACAUUCAUCAAUGUUAAGAAAAGGUAUUCAGCUGAUACUGGAAAACAAAAUUCUCUUAAAAACAACUGCACUUUAUCAUUGCAACACGGUAGAUUUAUACUUCGCAGGUAAAAUGAUCAAAAUUACUUCCUGAAGUUAUUUUAACAGGUUGUAAAUGCUAAGUAAAAUCUUAGGAAAUGACUCAGGAGAUAAGAUUGUAAAGAUUUCUUCCCGAGGCUAUUUUGACAACCCUUAAGGGCCGAAGAGAGAUUUGUGAAAUUCCUUAAUAUGAUCCAGUGGGGAAAGGCUUGGGGUGAGAGCCAGGAUUCUUGACUUCUACUCCAGCUAACAAACUAAAUGGACUUACUUAGCUCAUUAACUUUCAUGCUUAUUCAUUCGGAACAGUCUCAUUGCAGACCUAAUUCAAUAUGCUGUAGUGGGUUUGAAAAUGCCGUGCAGGGACUCCCCUGGCGGUCCAGUGGUUAGGACUCUGCGCGUCCACUGCAGGGGGCCCGGGUUCGAUCCCUGGUCUGGGAAAUAAGGUCCCACAAGCCGAGGGGCGUGGCAAAAAAAAAAAAAAAAAGUAAGUAAAAUGCUGUGCAAGAUUUCCCUAGAUUAUCUAAACAUUUCCAACCUAUAAUUUACUCCGCUGAUAAUUGGUUUUACUGUUAUCUAUAUACAUAUAUAAUAUAUAUAUAUUUCUUUGCAUGCUAAAUGAAUCUCCCAACUUAAGAGAGAGUUGCCAUGUCAUGUUCUACUGCCUGCAUGGAGACCAAUAUUAUGCUGUGCCCCAGGACUGUUGUUCAAAAGUCCUCAUGGUCAUAGCUAAAGAACGGACUGAUUCUCUCUGAAUAACCAAUUGUAGACCCCGGUCCAGAUGGACACACAUCCCACGUCUCUGCUCCGUCUGUCCAGGAGGGUGCCGAGUCUUGAGGAAAAGGCAAAGUGUGUCUGAUGGUCCGGCAAUCUCCAGGAAUUUUCAAAGGAAGUGAUGCUGUUGGAGAGGCUGCCAUGGCGACUGUAGCUGGAAGGUCCAAGUCUUCCAGGUAGAUGGACAUUUGGGUGUUUUCAGAAUCAUAGUUACAGCCAGAAAGGCUCGUGACUUCCCGCACAUUGUCACAGCAUUUCAGAGCAGGGGGCUGGUAGGCCUGGUAGGACACUUUGGUGGUGGUGGUGAUUACUGUCUGCAGGGCUGGAGCAGAUGGCGGGGCCGUCGUGAGGUACCUGCAGGGAAGCUCUGGGUUGUAAUAAGGGCGAGCGGCCACGGCCUGGAACUGUCCAUGGUCAGUGCUCUCCCCAAGGUCAGCUUUUCCAAGAGCUGGUUUCCAGCCAGGCUGUUUACUGGUGAAAUCAAAGCUUCUCUCAAAGCUGCCGUAGGAGUUGAUAUUGUAUUGCAGUGCAUUCAGAUGAACCCAGUCCGUGUCAUCAGGAAUACUGCUGGCAUCUUUAUAAAGGGUGGGAUAAUAUGGGCCUGAAUUUGUGUAACCAGGGCCUGCCAAUUCAUAGCUGCAGGGUGGCCUAGGCAAAAAGAUUCUUGGGUUUGGAUAUUUCUGAAAGGGUGGUACUAUAUCUCCUUGAAAGGCAGCUAGGUCACAGGUAGCUUUGUAAGCAUCCGAGUUUGGAAAGGAAAAGCAAGGCUGCCCUGGAACAGGGAAGCCAGUGUCAGGAAUUAUAUCAAACUCCUCUGGGUUCUCCAGGGAAGGUAUGUUGCUGAAAUGGCCACCGUUAUCUUGAUUCUCUCCUGCCUAAAAAAAUGACACAAAUUUUUAUUUGUAAAUAAAGAUGUAAAUUGCGUGGACACCCUCACCUGUAACAGUCGUCAACCAACCAAAUAACAAGCUUUCGCUUGGUGGGCUGUGUGUUAGGAGCUCAGAAACAUGAUCUGAGCUCAUGGUCUGGGAAUUUCACAGCUUGAGCUCACGCUUGGAUUCCACGCUGCUGAAUUAGGAGAGACCGUGGUAGCCAGGCAGGGUGGGUCUGAGUGGCAGAUGGUCUGUUCUCCCUAUACUACGUGCAUAACAGCAGAGGCUCAGGAGCCUGACGCAGACCUGGGUUCAAAUCCUGACUGUCCCUCAUGCACUGAACAAGUUACUUAACCUCUCUGAGCCUCAGAUUCCUCACUUAAAAAUGGGGCU